UGCGUUGUUGGUAGGAGCGUUNUAAACCUGUGAAGGUGUACUGUGAGGUAUGCUGGAAUUAUCAGAAGUGCGAAUGCNGACANNAGUAACGAUAAAGCGGGUGAAAAGCCCGCUCGCCGGAAGACCCAGGGUUCCUGUCCAACGUUAAUCGGGGCAGGGUGAGUCGACCCCUAAGGCGAGGCCGAAAGGCGUAGUCGAUGGGAAACAGGUAAUAUUCCUGUACUUGGUGUUACCGCGAAGGGGGACGGAGAAGGCUAUGUGGCCGGGCGACGGUGCCUCGGUUUAAGCGUGUAGGCUGGUUUUCCAGGCAAAUCCGGAAAAUCAAGGCUGAGGCGUGAUGAUGAGGCACUACGGUGCUGAAGCAACAAAUGCCCUGCUUCCAGGAAAAGCCUCUAAGCAUCAGGUAACAUCAAAUCGUACCCCAAACCGACACAGGUGGUCAGGUAGAGAAUACCAAGGCGCUUGAGAGAACUCGGGUGAAGGACCUAGGCAGAAUGGUGCCGUAACUUCGGGAGAAGGCACGCUGAUAUGUAGGUGAAGCGACUUGCUCGUGGAGCUGAAAUCAGUCGAAGAUACCAGCUGGCUGCAACUGUUUAUUAAAACACAGCACUGUGCAAACACGAAAGUGGACGNAUACGGUGUGACGCCUCGCCGGAAGGUUAAUUGAUGGUUAGCGCAAGCGAAGCUCUUGAUCAAGCCCCGGUAAACGGCGGCCGUAACUAUAACGGUCCUAAGGUAGCGAAAUUCCUUGUCGGGUAAGUUCCGACCUGCACGAAUGGCGUAAUGAUGGCCAGGCUGUCUCCACCGAGACUCAGUGAAAUUGAACUCGCUGUGAAGAUGCGGUACCCGCGGUAAGACGAAAGACCCCGUGAACCUUUACUAUAGCUUGACACUGAACAUUGAGCCUUGGUGGUGUAGGAUAGGUGGGAGGCUUUGAAGUGUGGACGCCAGUCUGCAUGGAGCCGACCUUGAAAUACCACCCUUUAAUGUUUGAUGUUCUAACGUUGACCCGUAAUCCGGGUUGCGGACAGUGUCUGGUGGUAGUUUGACUGGGGCGGUCUCCUAAAGAGUAACGGAGGAGCACGAAGGUUGGCUAAUCCUGGUCGGACAUCAGGAGGUUAGUGCAAUGGCAUAAGCCAGCUUGACUGCGAGCGUGACGGCGCGAGCAGGUGCGAAAGCAGGUCAUAGUGAUCCGGUGGUUCUGAAUGGAAGGGCCAUCGCUCAACGGAUAAAAGGUACUCCGGGGAUAACAGGCUGAUACCGCCCAAGAGUUCAUAUCGACGGCGUGUUUGGCACCUCGAUGUCGGCUCAUCACAUCCUGGGGCUGAAGUAGGUCCCAAGGGUAUGGCUGUUCGCCAUUUAGUGGUACGCGAGCUGGGUUUAGAACGUCGUGAGACAGUUCGUCCCUAUCUGCCGUGGGCGCUGGAGAACUGAGGGGCUGCUCCAUACGAGAGGACCGGUGGACGCAUCACUGGUGUUCGGGUUGUCAUGCCAAUGGCACUGCCCGGUAGCUAAAUGCGGAAGAGAUAAGUGCUGAAAGCAUCUAAGCACGAAACUUGCCCCGAGAUGAGUUCUCCCUGACUCCUUGAGAGUCCUGAAGGAACGUUGAAGACGACGACGUUGAUAGGCUGUGUAAGCGCAGCGAUGCGUUGAGCUAACCGGUA
rnacentral:rRNA from 1 species